rnacentral:rRNA from 1 species
UACGGAGGAUGCAAGCGUUAUCCGGAAUAAUUGGGCGUAAAGCGUUCGUCGGUGGUGAUGUAAGUCUGCUGUUAAAGCGUGUAGCUUAACUACAUAUAGGCGGUGGAAACUACAUGACUAGAGUGCGUUCGGGGCAGAGGGAAUUCCUGGUGUAGCGGUGAAAUGCGUAGAUAUCAGGAAGAACACCGGUGGUGAAGGCGUUCUGCUUAGCCGUAACUGACACUGAGGGACGAAAGCUAGGGGAGCGAAUGGG